UAACUCUGGUGUCUCCUCAUUUGCGGAUAAAUCUUUCGCCUUUUACUGAAGAUUUCUGCAGGGAGGCACAAUACAAUGAGAUUAUCUCAUUUUUUCCAACUCCGUCUUUGCACGGAUU
rnacentral:snRNA from 1 species